GUGGUGAUGCACGUGCGGCAAUGACGACGAUCGAACUUGUUCGAUACGGAGAUCGACGUGAGGAUUACGGCUGUCGAUCGAUCCCGGGCUGCUCAAAAUCGCGACGCUCGAUCCGCUCGCGCCGCGACCUACCUGCUUAAAAUUCCAGGGCGUCUCGGACCUUUUUGGGAUCGUGAACAAAAAUAAAUUAUAGGCCCAAUAAACACAUGAUUAAAAUAUAUUUUUAAAAUAAUACCACUUAUUGGCAUCAAUUGGAUAAGAAAUUUUAACGUGUGACGGUAUGUGCGUAAUAGAUUUGAGAAAAGUUUUUUAAGAAA